UCCAAUGGGCGGGCCUUGGCGGGGGAGCCUCGCGGCUCGCCGGUUCUGGUACUGCGCGCCGGUCUGUUAACCCCGUCAAUGUGCCCGCUCACCCAA
rnacentral:antisense_RNA from 1 species